rnacentral:rRNA from 1 species
UACAGAGACUGCAAGCGUUAUUCGGAUUCACUGGGCGUAAAGGGUGCGCAGGCGGCCAGAUGUGUCAGGUGUGAAAGCCCGGGGCUCAACCCCGGAAUUGCGCCUGAAACUGUCUGGCUAGAGUACUGGAGAGGGUAGCGGAAUUCACGGUGUAGCAGUGAAAUGCGUAGAUAUCGUGAGGAACACCAGAGGCGAAGGCG